CGCGCCGGCAGGGGCCUC
rnacentral:miRNA from 1 species